rnacentral:rRNA from 1 species
GAUGAACGCUGGCGGCGUGCUUAACACAUGCAAGUCGAACGAAAAGGCCCUGCUUUUGUGGGGUGCUCGUGUGGCGCAGGGGUGUGAAACACGUGUGUACCCCCCUCUUGUCUUUGGGAUAACUUCAGGAAACUGGGGAUAAUACCGGAUAGGAGCUCCUGCCGCAUGGUGGGGGUUGGAAAGUUUCGGCGGUUGGGGAUGGUCUCGCGGCUUAUCAGCUUGUUGGUGGGGUAGUGGCUUACCAAGGCUUUGACGGGUAGCCGGCCUGAGAGGGUGACCGGCCACAUUGGGACUGAGAUACGGCCCAGACUCCUACGGGAGGCAGCAGUGGGGAAUAUUGCACAAUGGGCGGAAGCCUGAUGCAGCGACGCCGCGUGCGGGAUGACGGCCUUCGGGUUGUAAACCGCUUUCGCCAGGGACGAAGCGAGAGUGACGGUAACGGGUAAAGAAGCACCGGCUAACUACGUG